rfam:Mamestra brassicae MNPV strain K1, complete genome.
CACUUUACGACGCGUAUAUUGGCCAAUAUACUACAAUCCGACGUUUGCGGUCAGAUUUUACACGAAAUUCAUGAAAAAUAUACUACGAUUAUGAACAAAUAUACUACGAUUACAUUCAAAUAUAACGACAGUGGUGUAAAAACCACUAAAUAUAUUGAACAAUAUGGGUCAAAUAUACAAAAAUCUGACAUUAC